GUGUCAGCAGCCGCGGUAAUACGAAGGGGGCUAGCGUUGUUCGGAAUUACUGGGCGUAAAGGGCGCGUAGGCUGUGCUGUAAGUCAGGCGUGAAAGCCCCGGGCUCAACCUGGGAAUUGCGCUUGAUACUGCGGCGCUGGAAGGUGGGAGAGGAUGGCGGAAUUCCCAGUGUAGAGGUGAAAUUCGUAGAUAUUGGGAAGAACACCGGUGGCGAAGGCGGCCAUCUGGCCCAUUUUUGACGCUGAGGCGCGAAAGCGUGGGGAGCAAACAGGAUUAGAAACCCCCGUAGUCC
rnacentral:rRNA from 1 species